AUUGAACGCUGGCGGCAGGCCUAAAACAUGCAAGUCGAGCGGAGCGGCGGAAGGGAGAGUAAUGCGUGGGAAUCUGCCUGGUAGUGGGGGAUAACGUCCGGAAACGGGCGCUAAUACCGCAUACUAUCAGAUGAGCCUAGGUCGGAUUAGCUAGUUGGUGGGGUAAAGGCCUACCAAGGCGACGAUCCGUAACUGGUCUGAGAGGAUGAUCAGUCACACUGGAACUGAGACACGGUCCAUACUCCUACGGUAGGCAGCAGUGGGGAAUAUUGGACAAUGGGCGCAAGCCUGAUCCACCCAUGCCGCGUGUGUUAUGAUGGUCUUUGGUUUGUAAAGCUCUUGAUGUUAGGUUGCGUUAUCAUCAGAAUAAGCACCGUCUAACUUCUUGCCAGCAGCCGCGGUAAUCC
rnacentral:rRNA from 1 species